rnacentral:tRNA from 1 species
UCUAUUAUGGCAGAAAUAAUAUGCAAUGAACUUAAAAUUCAUUUAUAAAGAUUAAUCUUUUUUUAGAAA